rnacentral:tRNA from 1 species
GGUGAGAUGGCCGAGUGGUCUAAGGCGCUAGAUUUAGGUACUCUAAACUCUAGUCAUUCGUGGCGUGGGUUCAAAUCCCACUCUCAUCA